UACGGACCAUCCAAACGUUAUUCGGAAUUCCUGGUCUUAAAGGGUGCGUAGGCGGCGCUGAAAGUUGGGUGUGAAAUCCCUUGGCUUAACCAAGGAAUGGCGCUCAAAACUACCGUGCUCGAGGAAGACAGAGGUGAGCGGAACUUAGGGUGGAGCGGUGAAAUGCGUUGAUAUCCUAAGGAACACCGGUGGCGAAAGCGGCUCACUGGGUCUUUUCUGACGCUGAGGCACGAAAGCCAGGGGAGCGAACGGG
rnacentral:rRNA from 1 species